AUUGAACGCUGGCGGCAUGCUUUACACAUGCAAGUCGAACGGUAACAGGCCGCAAGGUGCUGACGAGUGGCGAACGGGUGAGUAAUGCAUCGGAACGUGCCCAGUCGUGGGGGAUAACGCAGCGAAAGCUGCGCUAAUACCGCAUACGUACUGAGGUAGAAAGUGGGGGACCUGCGGGCCUCACGCUAUUCGAGCAGCCGACGUCUGAUUAGCUAGUAGGUGAGGUAAAGGCUCACCUAGGCGACGAUCAGUAGCGGGUCUGAGAGGAUGAUCCGCCACACUGGGACUGAGACACGGCCCAGACUCCUACGGGAGGCAGCAGUGGGGAAUUUUGGACAAUGGGCGAAAGCCUGAUCCAGCCAUGCCGCGUGUCUGAAGAAGGCCUUCGGGUUGUAAAGGACUUUUGUCGGGGAGGAAAUCCCCAGCGCUAAUACCGCUGGGGGAUGACAGUACCUGAAAAAUAAGCACCGGCUAACUACGUGCCAGCCGCCGCGGUAACAC
rnacentral:rRNA from 1 species